GGGACAGGUAAAGACCCCCAGAGAUGAAUUUAUUUCUCUUAUGCGUCUCACAAAUAAUGUGACUGAUCAGGAACAAUAGAGAGAAUUUUUUUCGUGGUUCUUGCUCUAAUUGGACUACGAUCAGACCAUGGUUGAGUCCGGGAUCAAAUUCUUACCUGUCUAGCUAUCCUUACCCUGGAAGAUGUUUUAGCUAGGCUUCUUCACAUCUCUUUAACUACUAAUGAGGUAAUACCUAAUGACUCUUCUGUAAUGGCAGUACAAUCUAAUAAUCAAGGGGAAAGGAAAGAGUUCAAAGCAUUGUACAUAUUGUGACAAGGCAGGACACAUAGAGAUACAUGUCGGUCACUUCAUAGUAAACCUCCUCGCCAUACUAAUCGACCUUCUCCUACAACUAAUAUGAUGGCCUCUUACCUCCAUGGACCGGGCACCGUAUUUUGUUACUCUGACUGGAGUUGAUUAUGAUGACUAUUUGCGAUGUCAAACAU
rnacentral:misc_RNA from 1 species